UGAGAGUUUGAUCCUGGCUCAGGAUUAACGCUUGCGAUGUGCCUAAGGUAUGCAAGUCGAACGAUUCCUGUGUCCUCGGAUACAGGGAGUGGCAAACGGCUGAGUAACGCGUAGGAACCUACCCCAAACUCGAGUAUAGCCCCGCGAAAGCGGGGGUAAUCCUCGAUAGUCCGUGAAGCAUCUUGCUUUACGGUAAAGCUUUUGCGGUUUGGGAUGGGCCUGCGUCCUAUCAGGUAGUUGGUGAGGUAAAUGCUCACCAAGCCUAUGACGGGUAGCUGGUCUGAGAGGAUGAUCAGCCAGACUGGGACUGCGACACGGCCCAGACUCCUACGGGAGGCAGCAGUGGGGAAUUUUCCGCAAUGGGGGCAACCCUGACGGAGCAACGCCGCGUGGGGGAGGAAUGUCUGUGGAUUGUAAACCCCUUUUCUCAGGGAAGAAGAUCUGACGGUACCUGAGGAAUCAGCAUCGGCUAACUCCGUGCCAGCAGCCGCGGUAAGACGGAGGAUGCAAGCGUUAUCCGGAAUUAUUGGGCGUAAAGCGUCCGUAGGCGGUUUCUCAAGUCUGCCGUUAAAGACUGCAGCUUAACUGUGGGCAAGCGGUGGAAACUGAGGAACUGGAGUGCGGUAGGGGUAGAGGGAAUUCCCAGUGUAGCGGUGAAAUGCGUAGAUAUUGGGAAGAACACCAGUGGCGAAGGCGCUCUACUGGGCCGUAACCGACGCUGAGGGACGAAAGCUAGGGGAGCGAAAGGGAUUAGAUACCCCUGUAGUCCUAGCUGUAAACGAUGGAUACUAGGUGUUGGACGUAUCGACCCG
rnacentral:rRNA from 1 species